GAUCGCGUUCUCCACAGUUGCCUCUGGGUAGGAGCCUGGACACUAAUAGAAAAUGGAUGCACUUGAGCCGACCUAAGCAUUCAUGGUCAUGAGAUUUGUGGUUGCCACUGUUGGUUAGGAGCAUAGAGAUCAGUAAUGGACACACCUGGGCUGGCAGAACAUCUUGCCUUGAUCUGGAGCCCCAUGUCUGCCCCUCUGUAGAGGUGCACAUGGGCCAAUGAUGGAUGCAAUGAGCUGAUCAUUUUGCUGUGAUCAAGGCUAUGUUGCCUCUGUGUUAGGCCAAUGGUUGAUGUUCAUGGGUGAUUGAUCAUCCUGUAGCGACGGUGGUAUUGACUGUUCCCCAGAGGACAAGGAGUGUGUUCUUAUCUACUCAGGAGGCUGAGGCAGGAGAAACGCUUGAACCCGAGAGGCGGAGGUUGCAGUGAGCUGAGAUUGCGCCAUUGCACUCCAGCCUGGGCAACAAGAGUGAAACUCCAUCUCAAAAG
rnacentral:lncRNA from 10 species